UCGAGAAUUUUUGACAAUGGGGGAAACCCUGAUCGAGCGACGCCGCGUGGAGGAUGAAGGUCUUCGGAUUGUAAACUCCUGUCAUUGGGGAACAAUGCACAGAUAUUAACUGUAUUUGUGUUGAUAGUACCCGAAGAGGAAGAGACGGCUAACUCUGUGCCAGCAGCCGCGGUAAUACAGAGGUCUCAAGCGUUGUUCGGAUUCAUUGGGCGUAAAGGGUGCGUAGGCGGCGCGGUAAGUCGGGUGUGAAAUCUCGGGGCUUAACUCCGAAACUGCAUUCGAUACUGCCGUGCUUGAGGACUGGAGAGGAGACUGGAAUUUACGGUGUAGCGGUGAAAUGCGUAGAUAUCGUAAGGAAGACCAGUGGCGAAGGCGGGUCUCUGGACAGUUCCUGACGCUGAGGCACGAAGGUCAGGGGAGCAAACG
rnacentral:rRNA from 1 species